UUUUUUCUCUUUUCUCCCUUUUUUUCUAAAACCUAAGCGGGACUUUUAUUUUUCUCAAAACCUCUUGUUGCCAAUUUGAUCAGACCCCUUUUUCCCUUUUUCUUAAAAUGUAAGCGGGAUUUUAAUUUUUCACUAAACCCUUGCUCCCAACUUUCAUGAUACCCGCUCCAAAAUAUCUCUUCCUAUUUUCCCCCAAAUCUCAACCCUUAAUUUUCACUUAAGUUUCGUCCAGAUCUUUCGUCCAGUGCUUUCGUUCCAUUGUACUCGUCGGCUAGGUUGAGCAAAGUGUGGUCGCCCGCCAGUUCAGCAAAGUGUGGUCGUCGUGCACAACCCAACUCGCGGCCAGGUUUAAUUCUUCAACCUGGUAGUUCACAGAUUCAAACGUGCUUAUUAAUAAGCUGGUGUUAUAACUAAACUUGGGAGGCAUUGUGUUAUUACUAGUUGUUCUACUAUUUGACUGCCAUCAAACUUUGGAAUCUCACAGUUCUCAAGGAAUAAUUUUGAAUGGAUAAAUCUUGGCAACAAAAGUACAACAAUUUAAAAUUAGUGGCAACAAAAGUACAACAGUUUAGAAUCAGCGUUUAAAGCAUACAUGAUAACGAAGGAAGGAAAGAUUCCUCAUGAAUUUACCUCAUUCUUUGAUUCUCAACUUCAAGAAGGUGGUGAUGCAAAUGAGCUCAAGUCUUCUUUGGGUGGUACAAUAGGAUC